rnacentral:other from 1 species
UAACCUCUGCGGUGUUCGUGAAUAGGCGUACACUUUUGACGAACCGAUACGCAACCCGCACGGGGGCCUAACAAGAGUUUGUCUGGUGCUUGCAAGCCCACCCCUCCGCGGUAGUGGGAUCCGAAAUCCAGGCGACAGGCUCCCUCCUUGAACUGCGGGUUCUCAAAAGCGUCUACACGGCACAGGUGGAGGUUUU